rnacentral:rRNA from 1 species
CCCUUAGAUGUUCUGGGCCGCACGCGCGCUACACUGAUGCAUUCAACGAGUCUAAAACCUGGUCUGAUAGGGCUGGGUAAUCUUUUGAAUGUGCAUCGGGAUUGGGAUAGAUGAUUGCAAUUCUUCAUCUUCAACGAGGAAUGCCUAGUAAACGCAAGUCAUCAGCUUGCAUUGAUUACGUCCCUGCCCUUUGUACACACCGCCCGUCGCUCCUACCGAUUGAAUGUUCCGAUGAAUACCAUGGACUGAGAGUAUGAAUGGGUUCGCCUAUUUCUGCUUCUCGGGAAGUGGAGUAAAUCUUAACAUUUAGAGGAAGGAGAAGUCGUAACA